rnacentral:rRNA from 1 species
UGAGGAAUAUUGGUCAAUGGACGAGAGUCUGAACCAGCCAAGUAGCGUGAAGGAUGACUGCCCUAUGGGUUGUAAACUUCUUUUAUACGGGAAUAAAGUUAGCCACGUGUGGCUUUUUGUAUGUACCGUAUGAAUAAGGAUCGGCUAACUCCGUGCCAGCAGCCGCGGUAAUACGGAGGAUCCGAGCGUUAUCCGGAUUUAUUGGGUUUAAAGGGAGCGUAGGCGGGUUGUUAAGUCAGUUGUGAAAGUUUGCGGCUCAACCGUAAAAUUGCAGUUGAUACUGGCGACCUUGAGUGCAACAGAGGUAGGCGGAAUUCGUGGCGUAGCGGUGAAAUGCUUAGAUAUCACGAAGAACUCCGAUUGCGAAGGCAGCUUACUGGAUUGUAACUGACGCUGAUGCUCGAAAGUGUGGGUAUCAAACAGGAUUAGAUACCCUGGUAGUCCACACGGUAAACGAUGAAUACUCGCUGUAGGCGAUAUACAGUCUGCGGCCAAGCGAAAGCAUUAAGUAUUCCACCUGGGGAGUACGCCGGCAACGGUGAAACUCAAAGGAAUUGACGGGGGCCCGCACAAGCGGAGGAACAUGUGGUUUAAUUCGAUGAUACGCGAGGAACCUUACCCGGGCUUAAAUUGCAACCGAAUAUGGCGGAAACGCUAUAGCUAGCAAUAGCGGUUGUGAAGGUGCUGCAUGGUUGUCGUCAGCUCGUGCCGUGAGGUGUCGGCUUAAGUGCCAUAACGAGCGCAACCCUUGCCGAUAGUUACUAACAGGUUAUGCUGAGGACUCUGUCGGGACUGCCAUCGUAAGAUGUGAGGAAGGUGGGGAUGACGUCAAAUCAGCACGGCCCUUACGUCCGGGGCUACACACGUGUUACAAUGGGGGGUACAGAGGGCUGCUACCACGCAAGUGGAUGCCAAUCCCAAAAACCUCUCUCAGUUCGGAUUGAAGUCUGCAACCCGACUUCAUGAAGCUGGAUUCGCUAGUAAUCGCGCAUCAGCCACGGCGCGGUGAAUACGUUCCC